AUUGAACGCUGGCGGCAGGCUUAACACAUGCAAGUCGAGCGGGGAGAGGUGCUUCGGUACUGAUCCUAGCGGCGGACGGGUGAGUAAUGCUUAGGAAUCUGCCAUUUAGUGGGGGACAACAUUCCGAAAGUAAUGCUAAUACCGCAUACGUCCUACGGGAGAAAGCAGGGGAUCUUCGGACCUUGCGCUAAAUGAUGAGCCUAAGUCGGAUUAGCUAGUUGGUGGGGUAAAGGCCUACCAAGGCGACGAUCUGUAGCGGGUCUGAGAGGAUGAUCGGCCACACUGGGACGGAGCCACGGCCCAGACUCCUACGGGAGGCAGCAGUGGGGAAUAUUGGACAAUGGGCGCAAGCCUGAUCCCGCCAUGCCGCGUGUGUGAAGAAGGCCUUUUGGUUGUAAAGCACUUUAAGCGAGGAGGAGGCUACCUGGAUUAAUACUCGGGGAUAGUGGACGUUACUCGCAGAAUAAGCACCGGCUAACUCUGUGCCAGCAGCCGCCGCCGUA
rnacentral:rRNA from 1 species